CCAUAGAAUAAUUAGUUUAGGAGGAUGGAUGAUUAAUUCAGUUAUUAAAAGCAAUUAUUAUAGGAUUACGAUUAGAAUCUAGAAAUCAGUAUCAAUUAUAUAGGAGUUGUAGAAGUUUGUCGGGGGGCUAGACUGUGAUAGUUAUGAGCCGGGGUUAAGCUUGGUGCUUUCUCUUUGUUUUUUUUUGUUUUUUUUGUUGUUAAAGAAUAAUGGAUAGUUUCUAAAUAUUGAGAAGUGAGUCUGUGGAAUAAAUCAAAGAUUGAUUUAUGAGUUAUUGAUUAUGUAAUUGGAGUACUGAGUGAUUCAAUUAUAUGAGAAGUUAUAAGAAGAUUGAUUAUGGAUGGAAGUUUAUAAUUAUUAUUUAUUGAGAGUUGUGUGUGUUUAUUUUGACAGAAGAAGUUUGUAAUUAUAGGAAUUCUGUGAAUUCAAAUUGAUUGAAGUGAAGUGUGUUAUUCAUGGUGUUGGAUGGAAUUUAUUGAGUUUUGAGCGGUCUUUUGAUAGUGCAGGGUGGCACAUUGUGGUUAUUAGUUGAUGAAGGAGUAUUGUUAUUGAGAGGAAGCAUUGUAGUAUUUUUUAGUAUUUUAGUG
rnacentral:lncRNA from 1 species